rnacentral:rRNA from 1 species
AACGAACGCUGGCGGCAUGCCUUACACAUGCAAGUCGAACGGCAGCAUAGGAGCUUGCUCCUGAUGGCGAGUGGCGAACGGGUGAGUAAUAUAUCGGAACGUGCCCUGGAGUGGGGGAUAACUAGUCGAAAGAUUAGCUAAUACCGCAUACGAUCUACGGAUGAAAGUGGGGGAUCGCAAGACCUCAUGCUCGUGGAGCGGCCGAUAUCUGAUUAGCUAGUUGGAGGGGUAAAAGCCUACCAAGGCGACGAUCAGUAGCUGGUCUGAGAGGACGACCAGCCACACGGGGACUGAGACACGGCCCAGACUCCUACGGGAGGCAGCAGUGGGGAAUUUUGGACAAUGGGGGCAACCCUGAUCCAGCAAUGCCGCGUGAGUGAAGAAGGCCUUCGGGUUGUAAAGCUCUUUUGUCAGGGAAGAAACGGUAGUGGCUAAUAUCCAUUGCUAAUGACGGUACCUGAAGAAUAAGCACCGGCUAACUACGUGCCAGCAGCCGCCGCCG